ACAGAGAGUGGCAAGUGACAAAGGAGAUUGCAAAUGCCCCCAAACACUCUCUCCCAUCGAUUGGCAGAGAGAAUCACACACAUAACACAGGAGAUGGAGCAUAAAAUUGGGCGGACUGAUUCACAGGUUUGUUUUGAUUUUUAAACUCAUUUAUUAAAAAAUAAAAUGAGUGUGCGUCCGUGUGGGGCGGGGGGACAGGAUUCCCUAACGCAAAGGGGCUGUCGGCGGACGGUGUACAAGCGAAAGCGCGCUCCCUAAAUCUGCAAAGCACUAAAUGUAGAGAAACGCGCAAUUACCCUGGGACCCGCCCGGAGAAGGCAGCCUCCGGAGCCGCAGGCGAUCGCGUCCCCGCCGGAGGAACGCUAACGUGCGGACUGCACCUUGCAGAGACUGCCUGAGGUCUUGAAUUCAGGAGUCCACGAAUAAAUCUACAGCUCCCAACCGUUCGGAUUGGAUGCCUUUCGAGGCCCCGCUUGGUUCCACUCUUGCUUGCCUUAGGCUGCCCACGUCGGCUUAGAAACAUUUCCACGGGUCCUGUCCUCGGGAUAUUUUCUAUUUCUGAACAUGUAAAGCGCACAAAGGACCCGAGAUGCAGUGAAGGGACGGCUAUUCCAGGAGAAAAUGAUGGGAAUGAGCGUGGACGUGGGAGUGCCCUGCUCACCGUGGGUUCUGGGGCGGGGGCCAGAGAAGGACACACAGCUGAGACGACCCAAGUGGCCUGCGGCGACGGGCAGCGCGUCCCAAGUGGAGCGCCAAGGCCCGGGCUCAGCCUUGGCCCGCUCCGCCCCUUUCUAAAGCUCCGCGGUGGCUUAGGGCCACCGGGGCCAGCUGUCUCCGGCUCCUGAGGCGACCCGCUCCAGCCCCCAAGAAGGAGGUUCCGACAGCCCCCCAGGAUACCCGAUCUACCUGGUUUUCUACCAACACAGACCGGAGGAACUGCAGCUCUAUCCAGAGAUGAGUUUUAAGGGUCACUCGAAAUCGAGCCGCUGAGAGGACGGCCUUUUGGGGAGAACAGUUAAAAGAAAAAUUCCCGAACACCUAGGUUCUGCCCGGUGCUAACAGGCGUAUACGAACCCCGGCCUGGACAGUUUCUGAGACCCCGGACCUUGAGAAGCAAACCUGUUCCCAAGCCCUGAAUGCCCGCCUUGGAAAAGUACAAAAAGAAAACUCUGCUUUUUUCCAAAAUAAAAACUCCUUCCCCGCAAA